AGAGAAUAGAUACCCCGGUAGUCCCAGCUGUAAACGAUGCAGACUAGGUGUUUGGACGGCCACGUGCCGUUCUAGUGCCGCAGGGAAGCUGUUAAGUCUGCCGCCUGGGGAGUACGAUCGCAAGAUUGAAACUUAAAGGAAUUAGCGGGGGAGCACCACAAGGGGUGAAGCUUGCGGUUUAAUUGGAGUCAACGCCGGAAAUCUCACCGGGAGCGACAGCAGUAUGAAAGCCAGAUUGAAGGUCUUGCUAGACGAGCUGAGAGGAGGUGCAUGGCCGUCGCCAGUUCGUGCCGUGAGGUGUCCUGUUAAGUCAGGCAACGAUCGAGACCCGCGUCCUCUGUUGCAACCAGCUUUGUGCUGGGCACACUGAGGAGACCGCCACUGAUAAAGUGGAGGAAGGAGCGGGCCACGGCAGGUCAGUAUGCCCGAAUCUCCGGGCACACGCGAGCUGCAAUGGCAAGUACAAUGGGUUCCGACCUCGAAAGGGGGAGGCAAUCUCGAAAGCUUGCCGUAGUUGGAAUU
rnacentral:rRNA from 1 species